GUAGAUAUAAUUUAACAAAAAUGCUAGAUUGUGAUUCUAGAAAUAAAGGUUAAACCCCUUUUAUUUACC
rnacentral:tRNA from 1 species